rnacentral:rRNA from 1 species
UACGGGGGGAGCAAGCGUUGUUCGGAUUUACUGGGCGUAAAGGGCGCGUAGGCGGUCAGCACAAGUCAGUUGUGAAAUCUCCGGGCUUAACUCGGAAAGGUCAACUGAUACUGUGCGACUAGAGUGCAGAAGGGGCAACUGGAAUUCUCGGUGUAACGGUGAAAUGCGUAGAUAUCGAGAGGAACACCUGCGGCGAAGGCGGGUUGCUGGGCUGACACUGACGCUGAUGCGCGAAAGCCAGGGGAGCGAACGGG